AGACAAAAGUGUUCAACAGACAACCGGUGGACAGUAAAAGCAACAGAGUGGUUACCAAGGGAUGGGAAACGUAGUUGGGGAAGGCAGGGAAUUAACUAGAUGGAGUGACAAAAUUUGAGAAGUUCACA
rnacentral:lncRNA from 1 species